rnacentral:rRNA from 1 species
AACGAACGCUGGCGGCAGGCUUAACACAUGCAAGUCGAGCGCCCCGCAAGGGGAGCGGCAGACGGGUGAGUAACGCGUGGGAACCUACCCAGCUCUACGGAAUAACCCAGGGAAACUUGGACUAAUACCGUAUACGUCCUUCGGGAGAAAGAUUUAUCGGAGUUGGAUGAGCCCGCGUUGGAUUAGCUAGUUGGUGGGGUAAUGGCCUACCAAGGCGACGAUCCAUAGCUGGUCUGAGAGGAUGAUCAGCCACACUGGGACUGAGACACGGCCCAGACUCCUACGGGAGGCAGCAGUGGGGAAUAUUGGACAAUGGGCGCAAGCCUGAUCCAGCCAUGCCGCGUGAGUGAUGAAGGCCCUAGGGUUGUAAAGCUCUUUUACCCGGGAUGAUAAUGACGGUACCGGGAGAAUAAGCUCCGGCUAACUCCGUGCCAGCAGCCGCGGUAAAAC